UGCAGUCGAACGAUGAAGCCGGGUGCUUGCACCGGGUGGAUUAGUGGCGAACGGGUGAGUAUCACGUGAGUAACCUGCCCUUGACUCUGGGAUAAGCCUGGGAAACUGGGUCUAAUACCGGAUAUGACCAGUCCUCGCAUGGGGUGCUGGUGGAAAGAUUUAUCGGUCUUGGAUGGACUCGCGGCCUAUCAGUUUGUUGGUGAGGUAAUGGCUCACCAAGGCGAUGACGGGUAGCCGGCCUGAGAGGGUGACCGGCCACACUGGGACUGAGACACGGCCCAGACUCCUACGGGAGGCAGCAGUGGGGAAUAUUGCACAAUGGGCGCAAGCCUGAUGCAGCGACGCCGCGUGCGGGAUGACGGCCUUCGGGUUGUAAACCGCUUUCAGCAGGGAAGAAGCUUUUUGUGACGGUACCUGCAGAAGAAGCGCCGGCUAACUACGUGCCAGCAGCCGCGGUAAUACGUAGGGCGCGAGCGUUAUCCGGAAUUAUUGGGCGUAAAGGGCUCGCAGGCGGUUUGCCACGUCUGCUGUGAAAGCCCGGGGCUUAACUCCGGGUGUGCAGUGGGUACGGGUAGACUAGAGUGCAGUAGGGGAGACUGGAAUUCCUGGUGUAGCGGUGAAAUGCGCAGAUAUCAGGAAGAACACCGAUGGCGAAGGCAGGUCUCUGGGCUGUUACUGACGCUGAGGAGCGAAAGCAUGGGGAGCGAACAGGAUUAGAUACCCUGGUAGUCCAUGCCGUAAACGUUGGGCACUAGGUGUGGGGGACAUUCCACGUUUUCCGCGCCGUAGCUAACGCAUUAAGUGCCCCGCCUGGGGAGUACGGCCGCAAGGCUAAAACUCAAAGGAAUUGACGGGGGCCCGCACAAGCGGGCGGAGCAUGCGGAUUAAUUCGAUGCAACGCGAAGAAUCUUACCAGGGCUUGACAU
rnacentral:rRNA from 1 species